CACUAUCACUGUGCUGAAGACUGCACAGACAUUACUUUAAAUAGUAAUUAUUAUAGUCUUAAUGGUGUUCGGCCAAUCAUCAACCUAAUCUAAUAAUAGAACAUUAAACACAUAAAUGAUCAAUGUAUUUAUUGCAGUAUAUUGAAAAAUAUAAGCACUGAUUUCCCACAUGGAAAUGUUUUAUGUAAUAUAUUGCAUUUUAUUUUGCAGCAUAUUCCAUUUAUUUUUGUUAGGUAAGGGGUUGUGACAUAAGAAAAGUUGUCUCUAUAGACGGAGAAUUGUUUCAUUAUGUGGGUGUUAAAAACCCACUUAAAAAAAACUCAAAGCACACUGAGGAAAGUCUUUGAACAGAAUCGACUUGAACAGAGUUUGAUGAUCGUGUCUUACGGUGGAUCAGGUUCAGUGUCUGUGUUCAUUUCUCCAGCAGACGUGGAGCAGGAUUCAUUAGAGCUGAAGAGUGAGUGAAGAUUCACACAAACACCAGCAGGAAAUUACAUAACUUCUGCUUUAAGAGGAGAAAACGUUUGUGCACAGAUAUGCCUAUUGAGCAAGCUCCAGUAUGAAAUCAGGAAGCACAUGCAGAGUUAAACUGACCUGUCUGCAGCUGCUGAAUGACACGAUUCUCACUCUGGACCUUUAUUUCUGCAUGACUUCUUCAUAUAUAUUCAGUGUGAUUCAGUGUGAUCUCUCUUCUUCUCACAGGAAACAUGUUUCUAAAUACAUCAUUUAUUUCUCACUCUUUACUGAAGAGCUUUAUUUUCAUAUGAAUGAUUGGAUUAUUAGCUAUGUUAUCAGAAAUGUUUUAAUUGCUGCCACUUGUAAAUUAUUGAAUGAUUGUAAUAUUGUAACAGUAUUUUAUAUUAAAUAUAGAAUAUUGUCUCUAUAUUCCUUGUUUCAUUGUUGAAAUGUGAUGGACACAUGAAGACAGAAAAGAGUGAAAACAUGAAGCUCAUCAGCAGCAGUGAUGACCAAACUUCUCUGUUGAUCCAGUCGGAGCUGUAAAGUGUCGUUCUGAUGAAUCAAAUAUGAUCAAACAUGAGAUUCAGAAAAUCACACAUCCAGAAAACUGCUGGAGCCUCAGAAAUCACAGAGCAGCAGAAAACAAGAAGACAGAGAGAAAAAUGGAGACACAAACCAGUGGAUCACAAGAGAAAAGAGAACAGAGACUUCAGAGAUGUGAGAGUAUGGAGAGAGUAAGGCCAAACUUGUCAUGUGAUCCAGACGAGCCUGUAAAGAUUGAUUCUGAUGUCAAAAGUGAGGAGAUUCUCUCAUCAAAACCUUCAUCACUGACGUCCAUCAGCAAACGCUGAAGACCUGAACAUCACCACCAUCAUCAUCUUCAUCAUCACCAUCUUCAUCAUCACUAUCACAACCAUCACCAUCAUCUUCAUCAUCACCAUCAUCAUCACCACCAUCACCAUCAUCAUCACCAUCUUCAUCAUCACCAUCACCAUCACCACCGUCAUCACAAUCACCACCAUCACCACCAUCAUCUUCAUCAUCGGUCUGCUCUCUCCUGUCUUCUGGAAUCUUCUACAGACUCAUCUGAGCUCAAACACUCUCAUCAAGAGCUUCUUUCUCAGGAGGUUUACACAACACCGUUUUCAACUAAAACUUUUUAUUCAUUUUAGCUGUUCAUUUACACGACAACAGCGUUUUGGUGGCCUGAAAACGCAAACCUUUGAAAACGGGUUUCAAAGUGCAAGUUUUUGAAAACGAUUCCGUUAUCAUCUCCGUGUAAACUACAAAAACACGGAUCUGUGAAAACGGUGAUGUCAUGCACAUGCGUAUUACAUGUUUAAUCUAUCCACAUUAUUUUUCAACCCCGAAAUACGGUGUUUUCUGUGAAUGUUUGAGACUUCUGAUUUAUUCGCCGCUGCAGGGAAAUAAUGAGAAGAAUUUGAAGGUGCAGAAAACUGUAAAAAUAAGCUGGAUAGACGUGUGUGUUUGGUGUGAGUGCUCUGUAAGAGAAUGUGUUUGCGCAGGUGCGUAAUCUUCCAUCACCAUCUACUGGUCUGGCCUGUGUAAUACAGCAUUUUUAGUCAUUUUUGUGGAUCCAUGUGAACGGAUUGAUAACGUUGUCAUCUGUACAAAGAAAAACUUUUCCGUUUUUAGUACUUCGUUGUACCCUCAGUCUGAACUCUCAUUGUUCUCCAUCUACUGUAAAUAUUUCCCUGUCUCUGAUGAUGGUGAUUGAUGAUGUACUGGAUAUAAGACAGAGAGAAAGACUCUCAGACGUUCAGACUCUCACUCACUCCUACAAACAGCUCAGUGUGUUCAGUUCACUGGAGCAGCAGGAGUUUGAUCGUGUGAAACUGAAGGAACAACACCAGGAGAACAAGCAAACUCCUCACAGAAGUUUAAAUAAAUGUCUUUUAAGAGCCUCCGAAAAACAUCAAAACUCCUAUUUAUGAUAUAAUAGUGUGUUUAAUCAACAUCGAUAUAUCAAUAAACCAAAUCCAGAUUUA